GUUGACGACCGUUUCUAUUUUGCCUAUGGCUGCAUGUAAUACAAAUUACAUUAAAUCUCAGACAUGGGGCGAUGAAACCAAUUAACCUUAGUAAAAAAUUAGCGUUACAAAUACCCUCUUUUCAUCUACUUUGCUGCACAUUUUUAUUUUCUUGAAUUUUCGGUUUUGAUUUGAUUAGUGUGUUUCAGUGAACUUGUUAAUCAUGAGAUGGGAAAGGGUGGCUGUACAUGGAAGUGGUGGGCCUGGUAAAAAGUGGGGACAUACCUGUAGCGCUGUCCUAGGUGGUAGACUUCUCUAUGUCUUUGGUGGUUUUGGUGACGACAACAGGCAUACCAACAAAGUUCAUGUCUUUGACACUGUUAAUAGAAUUUGGAGUGAGCCAGUGACGAAGGGAGCUUUGCCUUCACCAAGGGACAGCCACAGUUGUACAGCAGUUGGAGAUAAUUUGUUUGUGUUUGGGGGCACAAAUGGGACAAAUUCUCUUAACGAUCUGUAUAUUUUGGACACCUCUUCGAAUACAUGGAUAGCACCCAGUCUAAGAGGUGAUCCCCCUAAUCCAAGGGAAGGCCACAGUGCAGCACUUAUUGGUAAACGGCUUUUCAUAUUUGGCGGAUGUGGCAACAUUGAUGGCGCUGAAAUAUUCUAUGAUGACGUUUACGUACUGAAUACAGAGACAUUUAUGUGGAAACGCAUUGUGCCAUCAGGCAUUCCGCCAAGUAAACGCGAGAGCCAUUCCUGUUCAUCUUGGAACAAUAAGAUCAUUAUCAUAGGUGGUCAAGACACAUCUAGCUUUUAUCAGUCAGAUGUUCAUAUACUUGACACAGAUACCCUUACUUGGUGCAAGUUGAACACUACGGGCCAGAUUUUGCCACCGCGAGCUGGGCAUACAACCAUUUCAUUGGGCAGGAACCUGUUUGUCUUUGGGGGUUUCGCUGAUAACCAGAGCCUAUUUGACGACGUUUACGUGCUUGAUGUUGCUUCUGGUACAUGGAGUGAGGUCAUGCUCACUGGUGAGGGCCCAUCCCCCAGAUUCUCAGUAGCUGGGGAUUGUUUAGAUCCACACCUGGGAGGUACUCUUGUAUUGAUAGGUGGUUGUAAUAACACACUUCAACCCUUGGAGGACAUGUAUUAUCUACAAACAGGCAUUGUUAGAGAGGAUGAACGAGACGAAAGAAGGAUAGCGAAAUUGUCCUUGAGGAAGCAGCUGAAGUUAAAAUGCCAGAAGCAACAAGCUUCAGCUUCUCCCUGCGAUAAUGCUCUUGAACGAUUUGAUAAUAACGCUAAUGUUCAUCACCAAAUGCCUGUGAACUAUACACAGCCAAGUCGGCAUAACGUUUAUUCAAACGAAUACCAGACUCCUCUGGGGACGAAGACAUUUCAAGCCAAGGUCACAAAGAGUUUUCCAAAUGGCUAUACCGUUGAAACUGUUAUUGAUGGAAAACGCCUUCGUGGAUUACUAUUUUCCACCAAACCAAGACCUGAACAGACUCCCUGUAAUGAUUCUAUCAGGAAUACGGGAAAUGGUGAAACUGAUAGAGAAAAGCAUAAUGGCGACCAUAAUUCUGUUAGAGAAGCAACUAGACCUUCAGAAACCAAUGUGAGCGACUUCCAGCAAGCAGAUGUCUUAGGUGGGAAUUCUAUCAGUAAUGAGCCUCCAGUUGGAGGUGCUACAGCUCAAAUGAAGAGUCCAUUCCCCUCUUAUGCUUCACCAGCCCAUGAGGUUCGUGACGUGUCCGAUGUUGUGAAUUUGGAAAGUGGUAUGCUUACUGAUGCAGUAGAUGGUGGUACUAAGGUCUCUAAGGAGAAUUCUUCUGCAACCAAUGACUCUUGAAUCCUUUAUAUAAGAAUCAAACAGCUUGGAAAAAGAUUCUCUCGAUCCAAUUAUUUGAGAUAAGAAUCAAUGCAACACCGAUUAGCCUUGUGCAAUUUUGUGGAGAUGGCGGAGGGAAUUGAACCACUUUAUCUCUACAGUCUGCUUGAGGAUAUCACAGUUUCAUUUUCCUUAGGUUUGAUAUUUUUGGGUAAAGAUUCCCAAUGAUUUUAUAUGCAAAAAAAAAAAAGGAAGAAGGAAGAAAAUUCAUAUAGACUGUGGUGUUGUGGUCACCAGCUUAGCUAAUAGUAGAAGCUUUAGUGAAUUCAAGGAGAUAACUUUACCAAUUUCCAGUCAAACUGUUUUUUAUUAACUAUGAGGUGCUUAUCUGCC